rnacentral:lncRNA from 1 species
AAUAAGGUUUCUUGUUGUUUGGUUGUGUAUUUCGUCGGACAACCAACAGUUUGUUGUGAGGCGAAGGAAGGGGGUUUCCGGCAGAUGAGGUUUCGUGGAGGGAGCUCGUCGGUAGUGAUAUUGUUGUUCGACGGUGUGGUUAUGAAGUGGUUCUUUGGUUGAUGGAAGACGGUGAAGUGAAGCACGGUAAAGUAGGUUGGGUUUGCCGGCGGCGAAGGUGAAGGGUUGUUGAUGACGGUGUGUGAGCAAGCUUUUCCCCGGUAUUGGUGGCGGAUGGAGAGAGGAUGGGGUUUGGUUUUUGUGUGUUGAAGUGGAGAUGAAGGAAGAAGAAGGUUAUGGUGGUGGCUUGCGUUUCGUGGACGGAGAUGUGGGGAGCGGCGAUGAGGGUUUGUGUUGAGAGAGAGAGCUUCUUUUUC